CUGUCACCAGGCUGACAUAGAUGACACCUGGAGCCUCUGAUCUGUGAUCUUCAAACACCUUGCUUCCAAGAGUCACUUGUCAACACAGCCAUAAGGAAGACUCAAGAGGCCCUAGCAGGAAUCGCAAGUGUUCACUCUGGAGCCAAAUGGACCUGAUGGAUAAGGAGACUGAAGACUUUAAGAGCAAGGAGAAGGCUCUGGAUGAUGCCAUUGAGAGGCUCAAGAAGGAAAACAAGUUCAGGAAAGAGAAGCUGGUAGCAUUUUGGCAAAAGAAGAGGGAGCUCUCCAAGCGCACAGAUGGACGAAACACCAUUUUGUGGGAGCGAAACAUGAAGCUCUGGAAGAAGGUCACAGAUCUCUUUGAGAGCAUCAGGAAUGUCUUGAAAGAGGAACCAGAACUUUGGAAAGAAGAGCUGGACAGCUGGACAGCUGAGAUGGCACUUUGGAAGAAGGAGAUGGACCAGUGGGAAGAAAGGUUCUGUGGGAGCUAUUAGUAUGUCCAUUGCAAAAUAAAUCUCUGGAUCAGCCCUCAAUUGAUCCCUUGCAGUGGACAAAAAAAUCUGGUCAUCUAAACAAGAUGGUGUCAGCUAAUGUACGUGGAAAUUCAUUAAAAGUUUUUCACAAGUG